rnacentral:rRNA from 1 species
UACAGAGGGUGCGAGCGUUAAUCGGAUUUACUGGGCGUAAAGCGUGCGUAGGCGGCCCGUUAAGACAGGUGUGAAAUCCCUGGGCUCAACCUAGGAAUUGCGCUUGUGACUGGCGGGCUCGAGUACGGUAGAGGGGGGUGGAAUUCCUGGUGUAGCAGUGAAAUGCGUAGAGAUCAGGAGGAACACCGAUGGCGAAGGCAGCCCCCUGGGCCUGUACUGACGCUCAUGCACGAAAGCGUGGGGAGCAAACAGG